CCUUGGCAGGCAGUUCAUCUCAUUUGAGAAGUUUCAGUUCCUGGACAGGUUUUGUAAGAACAACGCCCUGAAGCAAGAGAUUACGAGACAGCCUGGCUGCGUUUCAUCCUGAGCCUCGGAAGCUUCAAGCAGAGCUGCCCGAGCUGUGCACCAUAACACACACUGCUCCUCCAGUAGCAGAGGAAAAAAGCAGAAGCUGUCGUGGUGUGUUAAGCGGUAGAAAGAACACGCUCAGAUAUGCCUGACAUCCCAGUUGCAGAGUCCAGUGCCAUCCUUAGAACCACUUCCUCCUCGUCAGCAGCUUCCUGUGUGAUUUCCUGCCUCGUUGUGUAAGGGCAGCACGAAUGAAAGGAUUCCUCGUUUACACAAAGCCAUUUUCUUUCAACUCUCCUUACAAAAUCCCUUUUAAAAGCAGUGUCCUAACAGACCGCAAUGGAAUCAAGGAGGGAUGUCAGCCUCAAGAUAUGCUUGGCAAGCUGACAUGGCCAGAGCUACUGAAAAAACACCAUGACAGCCAUCUCCCCACGGUCCCCAGAUAUUUAGAAUCUUCCAGUUCUACUGAGCAGGCAAAGGAAAUAAAUCAUCUGAUAUCCUGCCAGCAAACUGCCAUCAGCACUCUGAGACUGGAGGCGUUUCUCCUGCCCCAAAAGAGCAUUAAAAAAAAAUAUAUCUAGCUGAUAACUUGGACAGUGUUCAGGUAUGUUUGUGUGCAUACCAGCAGUUAAACUGAUUUCUUCCACUAUCUUAUCUGUCCAUUUCAAGAGGAAGAAGUUUGGCAGGCGAGCUACUCUUGGAACGCACUCAGUAAACCAUGGACAGGAGAACCAAGGAGCGUAAAUAGAAACAACCAUAGGUGUAGCAGCUGGGAGCCUGACUUCUGGCUUCUAUUCCCAGCUCUACCCAUGACUCACUCGAUGACUUUGGAAAGCCACUUUGCCUCUCCCUGCUCCAGCAUUCUCCCAGGCACAGCUCACCCAUUUCACAGGUACCCCAGGCAGAGGAACCCCACUGCUCCCAGCUGGGUAAGCGUCUCUGGAGGAAGAACCUCAUCCCUCUUCCUCUGCCAGCCCCACACCAUCCAUCCCCACAACUCAUGGCACCCAGAGGGAAAGUGGCAACUUGAACCAAGUGCAUCUUGUGAAGCUUUUUGGGAUCUGUCAAGGAAAGGAAAAGCACUUGAACAAACUGUUGCUAAUUACAGCUUGACAGCACAUAACACAUUCCUGCUCUGGACAGAGCUCUGCUAUCAGCCAACUCAAUUAUACAUUAUCUUUGCCCAACUCCCUCCUUAUUAAUUGUGACCAAAGCACUGAAUAAAGCCAAAUUGCUGCCUG